GGGCGAAUAGCUCAGUUGGUCACGAGCGCCUCGCUUACACCGAGGAGGUCACAGGUUCGAGUCCUGUUUCGCCCACCA
rnacentral:tRNA from 1 species